UACGUAGGGAGCAAGCGUUGUCCGGAAUUAUUGGGCGUAAAGAGCUCGUAGGCGGUUCGUCGCGUCGGCUGUGAAAUCCCGGAGCUCAACUCCGGGUCUGCAGUCGAUACGGGCGGACUUGAGUACUGCAGGGGAGACUGGAAUUCCUGGUGUAGCGGUGAAAUGCGCAGAUAUCAGGAGGAACACCGGUGGCGAAGGCGGGUCUCUGGGCAGUAACUGACGCUGAGGAGCGAAAGCGUGGGGAGCGAACAGG
rnacentral:rRNA from 1 species